CGAAAACAACAACAUCGUGAUUCAACGAAAAUUUGAUCCUCCAUCGGCUUGUCUCUCGCACGCGCUCUUGUAUCACCCUUAAACCAUGUCUAACGAAAAGCAGGUGGACACCAAGCCUAAGAUUGACUUAGGUCUAUUGGAGGAAGAUGAUGAGUUUGAGGAAUUCCCCGCAGAAGACUGGGGUGCAGCUGAUGAGGAUGCAGAAGAUGUGAAUGUGUGGGAGGACAACUGGGAUGAUGACAACAUUGAGGAUGAUUUUUCCCAGCAACUGAGAGCUGAGCUGAACAUCCAGCCAAUGCCACAGUAAUCCUGUGCGUGUGUACUGUAUGAGAGAUUUGCGUUUUUGUGAUUUUCAGUUAGGAUUUCUAAUCAAUUGUCGACUGCUAAAUGGUGUAUUGUAUUAUCUAUGAAUAAAUGCUUUUAUAGAUAA